rfam:Tropicibacter litoreus R37 strain CECT 7639 genome assembly, contig: 0001
AUGACCGACGCCAAAGCCUUGGACGCGCAAUACGGGGUUGAAAAAGCCAUGACCUCUCUCGCGGCGGCCUUGGCCGGAGGCAACCUGAUUUACGAAAGUUCGG